rnacentral:rRNA from 1 species
AUUAGACGAAUCAUCUGGAAAGAUGAAUCAAAGAAGGUAAUAAUCCUGUAGUCGAAAAUGUUGUCUCUCUUGAGUGGAUCCUGAGUACGACGGAGCACGUGAAAUUCCGUCGGAAUCUGGGAGGACCAUCUCCUAAGGCUAAAUACUCUCUAGUGACCGAUAGUGAACCAGUACCGUGAGGGAAAGGUGAAAAGCACCCCGGAAGGGGAGUGAAAUAGAACCUGAAACCGUGUGCUUACAAGUAGUCAGAGCCCGUUAAUGGGUGAUGGCGUGCCUUUUGUAGAAUGAACCGGCGAGUUACGAUUUGAUGCAAGGUUAAGCAGUAAAUGUGGAGCCGUAGCGAAAGCGAGUCUGAAUAGGGCGUUUAGUAUUUGGUCGUAGACCCGAAACCAGGUGAUCUACCCUUGGUCAGGUUGAAGUUCAGGUAACACUGAAUGGAGGAC